rnacentral:rRNA from 1 species
AUUGAACGCUGGCGGCAUGCCUUACACAUGCAAGUCGAACGGUAACAGAUCUUCGGAUGCUGACGAGUGGCGAACGGGUGAGUAAUACAUCGGAACGUGCCUAGUAGUGGGGGAUAACUACUCGAAAGAGUGGCUAAUACCGCAUGAGAUCUACGGAUGAAAGCAGGGGAUCGCAAGACCUUGUGCUACUAGAGCGGCCGAUGGCAGAUUAGGUAGGUGGUGGGAUAAAAGCUUACCAAGCCGACGACCUGUAGCUGGUCUGAGAGGACGAUCAGCCAGACUGGGACUGAGAUACGGCCCAGACUCCUACUGGUGGCAGCAGUGGUGAAUUUUGGGCAGUGGGCGCAAGCCUGCUCCAGCAAUGCCGCGUGCAGGAUGAAGGCCUUCGGGUUGUAAACUGCUUUUGUACGGAACGAAAAGCCCUGGGUUAAUACCCUGGGGUCAUGACGGUACCGUAAGAAUAAGCACCGGCUAACUACGUGCCAGCCGCCGCAGUAACAC